GUAGGGAAUCUUGCGCAAUGGGCGAAAGCCUGACGCAGCCAUGCCGCGUGAAUGAUGAAGGUCUUAGGAUUGUAAAAUUCUUUCACCGGGGACGAUAAUGACGGUACCCGGAGAAGAAGCCCCGGCUAACUUCGUGCCAGCAGCCGCGGUAAUACGAAGGGGGCUAGCGUUGCUCGGAAUUACUGGGCGUAAAGGGCGCGUAGGCGGACAGUUUAGUCAGAGGUGAAAGCCCAGGGCUCAACCUUGGAAUUGCCUUUGAUACUGGCUGUCUUGAGUACGGGAGAGGUGAGUGGAACUCCGAGUGUAGAGGUGAAAUUCGUAGAUAUUCGGAAGAACACCAGUGGCGAAGGCGACUCACUGGCCCGUUACUGACGCUGAGGCGCGAAAGCGUGGGGAGCAAACAGGAUUAGAAACCCUUGUAGUCC
rnacentral:rRNA from 1 species